rnacentral:rRNA from 1 species
AACGAACGCUGGCGGCAUGCCUAACACAUGCAAGUCGAACGAGAUCUUCGGGUCUAGUGGCGCACGGGUGCGUAACGCGUGGGAAUCUGCCCUUUGGUUCGGAAUAACAGUUGGAAACGACUGCUAAUAUCGGAUGAUGACGAAAGUCCAAAGAUUUAUCGCCAGAGGAUGAGCCCGCGUAGGAUUAGCUAGUUGGUGUGGUAAAGGCGCACCAAGGCGACGAUCCUUAGCUGGUCUAAGAGGAUGAUCAGCCACACUGGGACUGAGACACGGCCCAGACUCCUACGGGAGGCAGCAGUGGGGAAUAUUGGACAAUGGGCGAAAGCCUGAUCCAGCAAUGCCGCGUGAGUGAUGAAGGCCUUAGGGUUGUAAAGCUUUUUUACCCGGGAUGAUAAUGACAGUACCGGGAGAAUAAGCUCCGGCUAACUCCGUGCCAGCAGCCGCGGUAA